CUUCCAGGUCUCCACCCUGGAGUGUUGUAAAUGCCAGUGCAUCAUCAGGCUGAUUCACCAUUUGCAGGCCGGGCAGCAGCGAGGGUACGUGCUACAGAAACCUAAGCAGUUGAAUACAGCACCCCAGCCCAUGGAAAAUACUGAAGGACUGAGAAUGAGCUGUAUCUUGGCGUGUCUCUGGGCUUACAGGAGGAAGCUGACUGAGAACAGGAUGAAACUCUAGCAUAUACCUGUGGCAGAAAAACAAUAUGCCUUGAACUAAUGGGCAGCUCAUACACGAGGAAAGGACUCAGAAGAGGACAGCGAUGGGGAAAAGGGACGGGGGCAUGCUCAAUUGAUGUUUUCACAAAACUAUCUGUAAAGCCUGAUGAGGUUUAUCAACUCAACCAAAUAUUAUGUGAAUAAAUACAGAAGCCAUGGGGUUCUCUUAUGGUUCUACCUAACAAGGAACAUUUUGAUUUUUAAAUGUGUGUGUGUGUGCGCACAUGUGUGGAGGCCAGGCAGGUGUCUUCCUCUACCAUU